rnacentral:rRNA from 1 species
GACGAACGCUGGCGGCGUGCUUAACACAUGCAAGUCGAACGCUGAAGACCUGGCUUUUGUUGGGUUGGAUGAGUGGCGAACGGGUGAGUAACACGUGAGUAACCUGCCCUCUUCUUUGGGAUAACGCCCGGAAACGGGUGCUAAUACUGGAUAUUCACUGAUCUUCGCAUGGGGGUUGGUGGAAAGGUUUGUUCUGGUGGGGGAUGGGCUCGCGGCCUAUCAGCUUGUUGGUGGGGUGAUGGCCUACCAAGGCUUUGACGGGUAGCCGGCCUGAGAGGGUGACCGGUCACAUUGGGACUGGGAUACGGGCCAGACUCCUACGGGAGGCAGCAGUGGGGAAUAUUGCACAAUGGGCGAAAGCCUGAUGCAGCGACGCCGCGUGAGGGAUGGAGGCCUUCGGGUUGUAAACCUCUUUCGCUCAUGGUCAAGCCGCAACUGUGGGUUGUGGUGAGGGUAGUGGGUAAAGAAGCGCCGGCUAACUACGUG